rnacentral:tRNA from 1 species
GGGGCUGUAGCUCAGCUGGGAGAGCGCUGCACUCGCACUGCAGAGGUCAGGGGUUCGAUCCCCCUCAGCUCCA